AUGGCAUCACAGACUCAAUGCACAUGAGUUGAGCAAACUCCAGGAGAUGGUGAAGGACAGCAAAGUCAACACACACACUGGGCAUCACCCAAAUGGCAGACACGUCCCGUCCACGCUGCUGGGAGGGAGACAGAACCAGUCGGCGGACCACGAGGCAACAGCCUGCGUUCGUAAGGCCUGAUCCCUGGGACUCUUAAAAUGGAUGUGUUUCAAGUUGCGACGGCUGAUGACGGCAUGGUGACCACGUCUUCCGAAUGCAUCUUCCAAACACAUGAGCUGUCCUUCAGAGACUUUCUACAUCCAGCCCUCUGGUCUGCUAGACAG